UCUUAUCGUCUCCUGUGUAAUGAGUGGGAGUAUCCAUCGACUUCUGGGGCUUUUGCUUUGAAAGGAGCCGUGUGCGCCUUACUUCAGCUAGUGUAGAGAAUUAUGUGCACCUAUUGAUUUUCCUUGAUUUCCCGGCGAGUUUAAAGCAAUUUUGCAUUCAUGGCCAUUCCCAUUGUGGAAUUCCGGUGGCUCGGCAGUAAAGCUAAUAAUAUUUCUGGAUUUAUUGACUUAUUUCCACGGAACUAUUGUAAUCCGGUCCUUAAUGCUGGCGCCAAGCGCAUACUCAGUGUUUCCAACUUGUCCGGACUUGGUCAGCGACGUUGUUAUUUAUGGACAGGCUCCGUUCUGCCUUCCGGGUUGUUUCAGUCGAGUUGAGUGACGGUUGAAUUGUCCAAUCCGCAGAGGGAUUGCGUGCGGCAUCCCAGCCUAUCAGCUGUAAGUAGGGGCGGAACCUGUCCUAUCCUAGUGGUUAGCGCUUACGUUUAUGGAGCUCAGGCCCGUAGAGAGCUCGGUUCGAGUGUAUGCUACGUGCUUCUUGUUCGAAGUAGAGGAAAAGCGGGUGAUGGGUGUGUUAAUAGCUAAAAUCUCCAUGAAUAAAUGGCAUAUUUUAUGCGCUAAUCACGUUAGCGCUAGCAGCUAAUGCUAAUCGCUAGCUUGGUCUGUGCCAUUACUAAGCCUUGGAUUGGCACCAAUAAGUGAUGUUGAGAUUGAAAAAGAAUUGUUGUUGAAUCAAAAUGAAUGAACUACAACUUUUUGUAAGCCGUAUGAAAUAUUGGGCUACUUUUCUUGCCGAUAGCCCGGUGAGUGUAUAGCAUGUUGACUUUUAGCUCGUAGCUUGUAGCUGUGGCUAAUAUGGUCAGAUGAAAUGACCGCAUACUUGAUAUUGUUGUCUAGAUACUGUCCAUAAAAUCCAGUCGGGGGUUUGUGAGAAUGAUGUCUAAUGUUUACAUGCUUUGGUGUCUUUUUGUAUCAUUGCAAAUGAAUAAACGGCAUGUUUUAUGUGCUAAUCGCGUUAGCGCUGGUAGCUAAUGCUAAUCGCUAGCUUGGUCUGUGCCAUUACUAAGCCUAGGAUUGGCACAAAUAAGUGAUGCUGAGAUAGAAAUGGUUUUGAUGUAAAUUCUGUUAUUUCCUGGUUAAAAGCCUAUUCUGUUUAACAGGACAUAACUACUGUAUAAAAAAAAUGUAGAAAUUCAUAGUAAUGUUCUAGUUAAGGAUGCUGAAAAGGUUAAAAGUGGAUGUUAAAUAAUUCAUUUCAGCAACUUGUAUAUGGUUAGGUUAAGAGUCCAUGUUACCUGAGUCAUAUUUCUAUGUUAAAAAGCCCAUUGUACUUUGUUUUAUCUCAUCAAGAAGACGACAAAGACCCUCUCUCUGCGUCGAAAUGACGUAAUCCUCGAGAAACCACCUGUGAUGGACUUCAUUUGAGCUUUCCCAGAAGGUGUGCUUGGUCUGGUAUUAUGGCUACACUCUUCAACAGGUUUGCAGUCCUGUCCGAUUUGGAACCUGCUGAGAAACAAAGAAAUGUCUUACACCACUCUGAAAUCCUGGAAGUUAGAACAGUGACCAGUCCUUACCCCCAGGGCAUGCUCAGACAAGGAAUCUUUUCCACCUCUGCCUGAACCCAUAGCUGGACCCAGUCGGGAAAAAGGUCUCAACAACAAAAAAGUGUUAUCUUCGGGCGUGUUGACGGAGCAGGUUUCCAGCAAUCCCCAGACAUCAGGUGGUAGAGGGGUGAAAAUGAUGAUGGGUGACCUUGCAAAAAGAGAAACAUCCUCUCAAAGUGACUCCCAAUCUGAAUCCCCCCUACUAAAAAUAAUGCUAAUGGGGAAAAGCAUGCUUUAGCCAUGCGCCUGGAGCCAACAAGACACCCUAGAACAAGUAGAAAGAUUUAUGACUGGGAAAUCCAAAUAAGCAAACCCAUCCUGAUAAUAGGAGACUCAAAUUUGUCCCGGAUUCCGCAGUUUAGGGAUAGCAGGGUCCAGGUAGACAGUUUUCCGGGGGUGACCUUUUUAUCACAUCAGGGGGUCCUGGAGAAACUCGGGACCCAUCCUGAGGUGGAGAAGGUCGUCUUAUCAGACGGUUUGAAUAAUUGUUUAGGGAAACAAACACCUAUCACUUUGUGGAAACAAUUACAACAAUUACUAAAAACAUAUACUAAAAUAUUCCGCAAUGCGCAGGUGUAUGUGCCGUUGUUAAAUUAGAUUAUUAGACAGAUUAGGGAGAGAGGUACAGUCACUAAUACAAACCCUAAGUAAAAUAAUAGCGCAAAAAUGUCAAUUCUUACCCGAAUUAAACAGGCUGCGCUUCCACACCGAAGCAUGAGAUCCGAUCCACUGGCGCUCAGAUACAACAGCAUCCAUCCUUGAUUUCUGGCUGGACCAAUUAAACAUGUAAAGGGGGAAGAAUGUCCGCAGACAACUCCCCACCUAUCAAACAUUACAAAUUUAUCAACUUAUAUGCUGAGCCAAAUAGAAAUAGACAUCUUAGAAAAAGGAUUAUCUUUUAUUCCCACACCACAGCGGUUCGACUGAAUGGAACUCUAAAGAGACGCGCACCGAUAUCGCAGGCGAUUAAAAUUUUUGGAUUAUUUUGAAUAUCAAAACAAUCAAAAUCGCUUACCGUUUGUUGCUAAUUCUAAAUGGGAACCGAAGGUAGAGUCUAUCUCGGAGGGUAUCCGAACACUAUCCGUAAAGACACUCACGCACUCACGCUCUCGAGUCCGCAACACAAAACCCAAUAGACCAAACCUCACCUGUGAACAAUUUAAAACAUUAAAAGCAUUAUCACAAAAUACAGACAUAAUAAUAAAACCAGCUGAUAAGGGCUCUCAGGUAGUUAUUAUGCACAGAUCACAUUACUUACAAGAAGCCAGUCAGCAAUUGGGAAAUACGCAAUAUUAUGCGCUGUUACAACACCCGAUUUAUAAAGAAACAGAGUAGAAUCUGUCAAAUAUUAGUCUCUUAAAACCUCUAAAUUCAUUACGCCUAGACAAUAUACCGUACGUAUGUCAGUGGUCCAGAUGCCCCCAGAGCAAGACAGUUUUAUUUGCUUCCCAAAAUUCAUAAACUGCCAUAAAAAUGGGCGGUACCCUUUAGAGUUCCCAGCGGACGUCCAAUCAUUAGUGAUUGCAGCUAAGAGUCCUAUCAGGUGGCUGAGUUCAUUGAUUAUUUUAUUAAUCCAUUAUCUCAAAAACAUGAUAGCUAUAUACAAGAUACAUAUGAUUUUGUGGAUAAAAUAAAAGGUUUGGUGAUACCAGAUAUGGCUUUUUUGUUUACUAUUGACAUCAAUUCAUUGUACACAUAUAUAGAUACACAACUGGGUCUACAGGCUGUUAGGGGGGCGUUUUGUAAAUAUCCAGAUUCGUCUAGACCAGGUAAAGAAAUCUUACAAUUAUUGGAACUGAGCCUGAGGAGAAAUGAUUUUGAAUUUAAUGAAAAAUAUUAUCUUCAAAUUCAUGGUACUGCUAUGGGAAAGAAAUUUGCCCCAGCGUAUGCAAAUUUAUAUAUGAGCACCUGGGAGGAAUCUGCCUUUCUCAAAUGCAGUAAACUACGAGAGGUUUAUUAUAGAUUUCUUGAUGACAUAUUUUGUAUCUGGGCUCAUUCUCAGGAAGAAUUUGGUAAUUUUUUAGAAAUUCUAAAUUCUCAUCAUUCAGCUAUUAGCAUCACAUAAUAUACAGACAGAGAAAAUUGAGUUUUUGAAUACACAAACAUUUAAGUCGUUGGGAAAUGGGACUAAGGGUCUAGCCACUAAGGUGUAUUUUAAGGAUACUGAUAGACAUGCUCUAUUGCAUAAAAGUAGUUUCCAUCCUAGGCACACCUUUAGAGGUAUUGUGAAAUCACAACUAAUCCGAUUUCACAGGAUAUGCAGCUUCCCGGAGGACGUGGAGGAGGCCACCCAGACUCUGUUCUGUUCAGAACCAGGGGGUAUGCUGGGCAAUUCUUGAGGCAAAUUAGAAUGGAAGUGAAACAAAAUUUUGAUGCAAAUCAAUAUUACCUCAAGUCGGGUAAUCAACAACCAAUGGUUCCAUUUGUACUUACGUUUUCUCAUCAUUUUACACACUUUCAAUAGGAACUUCAAAAAAUGCUUCCAGGAAGCCCAAGAAUCAACAGCUGAUUUGGCCAAGUUUAAACCAAUUACUGCAUACAGGAAAAAUAAGAAUUUAAAGGAUAUUUUAGUACACACCAGAAUAAAUAAGAAGGAUAAGCAUCAAAAAGAAUCUAAACAUAUUUCAUUAACUAAAUAUUUAAAGAAUAACUAUACAGGAUUGGGCAUUCCAAUUGAACAGAUGUUACAUCUGUACACCUAUAAUGUAGUUUAUUUUAUUAGGUGUAGGGAAUGCCAAUUACUAUAUAUAGGUGAAAUUAAAAAUAGAUUGAAGGAUAAACUCAAACAACAUCUAUAUCAAAUCAGACAGGGGAGGAAAAAUAACUUAUUGUACAAUCAUUUCUGUAUGCAUGUGUCCGAGAAGCUGCAGACCCAGGGGGUGGAGAGCAAAUUGGGUUGGACAGAUGCGUAGAGUGGAAAAGGGGUUGAUCGGUAUUUUAAAUACACGGGAACCCUUUGGUCUAAAUGAAAAAUAGGAGAAUUUGAAAGUAAAACGUAACUUUUUGAAGAUUACAAGGACAUAGAAGGGAUAGAAGGAUAGAUUUUUUGACAAUACUUACCUUUAGUAAGGAACUGUCCUUCUACCAAAGUGAGUCCGGUCCAUGUGGAGACUCCCCCAGAAGAUUCUCUGCCCCCUGCUGGUGAAGCAUACACAUGGAUGAGCAAUUGAGUUCUCUUAGACA